rnacentral:misc_RNA from 1 species
UACAUAAACAUACGGUCCAACAUGGCCGCACAAUUUUCCAUCGUCGAUCAGAUAGGAAAUGUCAACAGACUGUGUCUUUGAUUCAACGAUUUCUUGCAUUUGAACUCCAACGUAUUCACGAAACAGGUUAUUUCGAAUAUUAUGCAGUGAACUAAUGUCAGAAGAAUGACAGAUUCAUCUAACGACACAGUUCAUGAUCAGGACUUGUUUGUAGGCAGUGCGUUGGCUAUCGGUGGCAACCUUCUGAUCAGCAUCUCCCUCAACCUACAGAAAUUUACUCACAAUCGCAACCAAGCUCGGGAGGAAUCGAUCCACUACACCCGGGACCCACUAUGGUGGCUGGGGCUGAUCCUAAUGGGGCUGGGCGAGGUGGGCAACUUCACGGCCUACGGCUUUGCCCCCGCCUCACUUGUAGCUCCCCUCGGAACAACGACUGUUGUUGCCAACCUCUUUCUAGCAGCUGUUUUCUUGAAAGAAAAGAUCCGACCUGAACACUUGUUUGGAUGUGCUCUGGCCAUCAUCGGAGCGUUUCUUCUCGUGACAUUCUCCUCUCGGAAGGAGAAAGUCUUGAGUGGAGAUGAAAUAGUGGCAGCCCUGACCCAAAUAUCGUUCCUAGUUUAUAUUGUGAUUGAGCUGGUGGCUAUCAUCGUGCUGCUCGUCCUGCUGUACAGGUUCCAGAUGAAGCUGGUUGUCAUCUACCUUCUCAUCACCUCCAUCACAGCCUCCUUCACGGUCAUCUCAGCCAAGGCAGUGUCAAGCAUGCUGAAUCUGUCAGUGGGCGGAACCUCCCAGUUUGCUCAACCCAUCUUCUAUAUCAUGCUGGUCGUGAUGGUGGCUACUGCUGUAGUGCAAGUCAAGUACCUGAACCAGGCCAUGAAGAACUUUGACUCGACGGUGGUUGUCCCCACCAACUUCGUCUUCUUCACAGUCAGUGCCAUUGUAGCAGGAAUUAUUUUUUAUAAAGAAUUCUGGGGAAUGAAUGCCUUGGAAAUCUGUAUGUUCUUAUUUGGGUGCAUCCUGUGCUUUAUCGGAGUGUACUUUGUCACCGUGAAGCGACCAGAGCCUGACAAGGACAAAGUUCUAGCCCCGCCUUCCCAAGUGGCACCAGAACUCUUCCCCUCGUGGCUGCUGGCGAGUGUCAACGUGGGGCAGGUCCAGCCAACAGGGGCCGCCACACACGGGUCCAGCAUGGACCAGGACUGUACCCCGAUCCUCACAGCCAAGGAGGGCGACAUGUCCAGCUCCCAGGAGUCCCUGGUCGGACACGAAAACUCAGCCAUAACUCUUGACACUCAGGACAACAAGAACUAUGGCGCCACAGAGAACAACAACAACAAUAACAACAACAAUGAUAACAACAACAACUGACAUGGCUGAGGUGGACCGGUGCCAUUGAAACGACUCAUAUCAACCUGUUGUUUGUUCAACAGCCAUAGAUUCAAUGAGAAGACACUUUUCACAAACAUUGCCAAAAUGGUGCAAAUGAAGUUAUUUAUGUCUGUGAAGAUUUAUCGACAUGACAUUGGCUUGUCAUCAAUGGUCAUGGUGAAUUGACUACUUGUUUCUCUGUUGUUUACUUCUGUCAGAACUUCUCCUUUGUUUCCUAUUCAGAGCACAGGCAAAUGAUUUCGUCCAAUGGGUGGUCACUUUUUUGUCAGGUGCAGCGCAUUACUCUGCUGAUAAAGAACUAUGGAGUAUUCAGUUCAUGGAGGCGUGAAAUUCCUGUUCUGUGUGAAAGUUCACCUUUCAACAUGAGAUUAAAUCAACAACAAAUAGUUGUCUGCACUAACCGCACAGAUUAUAUGAAAUUAUGAAAUGUGCUUCAAACGUGAAUGGUACAGUUUGUGCGAUCUGCAGUGUAUAGUUUGUAGAACUGAAGUAUUUGCUUGUGCUCUAAGAUAGAUAGAGAACUUGUGCCAGUCCUUCAUCGGGAAAUAAACCUACUGUCGCGAGAACAAAGAGCUUCGCCUUGCCCUUUGUUCUCGUGAUGGAAUGUUUAUAUCCUGAUAAAGUACUGGCACUCAUCCUCUCUAUAUUACAUAUCUCUUGAUGACAGUGCUAACAUAAUUGUCUGUGUAUUAGCAGUUAAUGGAAGGCAGUGGCAAGAUAUCAUUGUCCUGCUUGUUACGAGGUUGUUGGUUUAAAUGUGGGUGAGGGAUAUGUUGAUAGAGUAAGUACAGUCAUAGCUUUUAUCUGUGACAAGAUAUUUUAUACAAAAAGGUGAAAGUGAAUUUGCUGUUAUGUCUAUCAACUGUAAAUGAAAUAAUGUGAAAAAUUUUUGUUUAACAAUCACAAUCAUGUUGACACACUUCUCAUGGUGCAUUUCUUUACACAUCCAUCUCUUGACAUGGUAGUACAUGGCCAAAGGUGUAUUGAAAGGCACAUCUAUUCCGUGCUGAUAGUCAACACUAAGGGAUGGGAUGGUGAUGUCAGAGAUUUGUUCUGUAUGCCAUUCCCAAGUGUAAAGCCAUGCACUCCCUUCAUGUGUAAGUAUUUCCCUGAGUUACAGUAACACAACAUUUUACUGGAUCAACUCAGUAACACAACAUUUUACUGGAUCAACUCAGUAACACAACAUUUUACUGGAUCAACUCAGUAACACAACAUUUUACCGGAUCAACUCAGUAACACAACAUUUUACAGGGUCAACUCAGUAACACAACAUUUGACAGGGUCAACUCAGUAACACAACAUUUUACUGGGUCAACUCAGUUACACAACAUUUUACUGGAUCAACUCAGUAACACAACAUUUUACUGGAUCAACUCAGUAACACAACAUUUUACUGGGUCAACUCAGUAACACAACAUUUCACUGGAUCAACUUAGUAACACAACAUUUUACAGGGUCAACUCAGUAACACAACAUUUCACUGAAUCAACUCAGUAACACAACAUUUUACCAGAUCAACUCAGUAACACAACAUUUAACUGGAUCAACUCAGUAACACAAUAUUUUACUGGAUCAACUCAGUAACACAACAUUUUACUGGAUCAACUCAGUAACACAACAUUUUACUGGAUCAACUCAGUAACACAACAUUUUACUGGAUCAACUCAGUAACACAACAUUUUACAGGGUAAACUCAGUAACACAACAUUUAACUGGAUCAAAUCAGUAACACAACAUUUUACUGGAUCAACUCAGUAACACAACAUUUUACUGGAUCAACUCAGUAACACAACAUUUUACAGGGUAAACUCAGUAACACAACAUUUAACUGGAUCAACUCAGUAACACAACAUUUAACUGGAUCAAAUCAGUAACACAACAUUUUACUCGAUCAACUCAGUAACAACAUUUUACUGGAUCAACUCAGUUACACAACAUUUUACUGGAUCAACUCAGUAACACAACUUUUUACUGGAUCAACUCAGUAACACAACAUUUUACUGGAUCAACUCAGUAACACAACAUUUUACAGGGUAAACUCAGUAACACAACAUUUAACUGGAUCAAAUCAGUAACACAACAUUUUACUGGAUCAACUCAGUAACACAACAUUUUACUGGAUCAACUCAGUAACACAACAUUUUACAGGGUAAACUCAGUAACACAACAUUUAACUGGAUCAACUCAGUAACACAACAUUUAACUGGAUCAACUCAGUAACACAACAUUUUACAGGGUCAACUCAGUAACACAACAUUUUACUGGGUCAACUCAGUUACACAACAUUUUACUGGAUCAACUCAGUAACACAACAUUUUACUGGAUCAACUCAGUAACACAACAUUUUACUGGGUCAACUCAGUAACACAACAUUUCACUGGAUCAACUUAGUAACACAAUAUUUUACUGGAUCAACUCAGUAACACAACUUUUUACUGGAUCAACUCAGUAACACUACAUUUCACUGGAUCAACUCAGUAACACAACAUUUUACUGGAUCAACUCAGUAACACAACAUUCCAUUGAGUUUCCUAUGCUGUUACAGCUGCUCACACUCUCAUAUUUAUUUACCAUGUUUGUUUUUCUGUUGUCAUCCUGUUUUACUGGUGUUGCUUGAUGCUGCAGUAUUUACACUUCAGUCUAAAUUGUAACACUGUCAACUGCUGAUCAAGUGCAAUCCAUAUGUUAAGGUGUUUCAGUUACAGACUUUUUGCAUUUCCAUGUUGAUAUAUUUGUUAUCUUUUAAGCAUAAUCAGUUUGUAUGACACUGACAAUGGCGAAAUGCACUACCACCGUGUGUUAAUGAUCUGCUGUUACUCACAUCGGUGUAAUACUCUUUGGGUCAGACCAACCAUGACCUUCCUUGGUAGACAAGUUUUUCUUAACUCAUACAGAAGUGAGUAAAGCAAAAACAUUUUGCUAUUUUUCAAAGAACAGAUGUUUUGAAACCCUUCUCUGGUGUUUUUGUUUUGAUAAAUGAUAAUACAAGUCCCUUGAAGAUCAGACAUUUUCAAAUUAGUGUUAUGAAAUGAUUUAGUUCAAUUUUAUUUCUUUUAAGAUUAACAGCCAGUCAAGGUCUUUCCUACAGUUUAUCUUGUCAUAUAUGUCAAGAAUGUCUGUGAAACAAGAAGAUCGGUCUAGCUAUUCAGUUUAGGACAGUGUGUAUGGAAGAGUACCUUUAACUUCUUUUGAUGUGUGACUUUACUAUAUCAUAAUUUACAGAAACAUUUUCAAAAGUUAUUUUCUUAACUGAAAUAUCCUGAUACAGCUGAUAUACAAUCAUUCCUAUUUCCACAAUUAUAUGUUUUGUGUAUAUCUUCUUUCUGUUUAUGUGUUUUCGAUUUAUUUUUUUCCAACAUUCAGAUUAAUCGAAACUGGAGAAAUUAUUGCAAGUGUAUAUUAUAAAGCCUGUGUCCCUCUCAGUGUCAGUAGGCGGGGCAUUGUGUAUGUACAUAUAUAUGGUGCUGUUCAACACGGCCAGUAGUCUGGUAUUCCAUAUCAUAGCCAAAGAUAUACUCUUUAUUCCAUGUUAUCAUAGGAUGUGCAUGUAACAUUCAACAUUUUUAAAAAUUUGAAUAAUUGUUUACCUUUGUUGUAAAAGAGAUACGUUGUGCUUGGGGUAGACUGCAGUAUUUGGGUCCCCAAACCGGAAUGAAUGUUUUUUACGGAAGUUGUCUGUGCUUCUAGUAUAUACAUGUAUGUCCCUCAUGUCAAGAUUUGUUUUCAAAUGAGCAAACUUUAUGGAGUGAAUCUGUAUCGCCAGUCCACUGCUACGAGAUGUUAUAGUUCAGCUUGCAUUCCACGGCAAAUACCUGUAACCUGGUAACUUCUCGUGUUGUGACAUAUCAGCAUUAUAUCCGCAAUAUAUUUAUUACAGUUAGUGUUAUUAGGUGAAACUUUUCCUCAACUAACACCGGGGUAGAAUAGGUCCUCAGCAACCCAUGCUUGCCGUAAAAGGGGACAAACAGGAUCGGGUGGUCAGGAUCGCUGACUUGGUUGAUACAUGUCAUUGUAUCCCAAUUGUGUGGAUCGAUGCUCAUGAUAUCAACCACUGGAUUGUCUGAUCUAGACUCGAUUAUUUACAGCUAUCUUCAUAUAGCUGGAAUAUUGUUGAGUACGGCUUAAACACCAAACAAACAAACUCAACUCAAGGAUAUAUCAAAACGCAACUGACACUUGUUUUUUCCAAUUAUUUUGAAAUGCCACAUCUUACUUUUACCAGUAAUGAUAUUUGCCAUCGUGUUUCCCUGAGGAUAUUUCAUUUACAUUUAUGUUCAGGUAAACUAAGCUUAUUUUGUUGUCUUUUCAAUUCCACAUAGGGCAGUGGUAUCAUGUGUUUGUUGUGAUAUGAUACCCUAACUUACAACAGUUGUGAUAUUUAUUUGGAUCUGAUAUUCUCUUGAUGUUUUUGCCUCCAAUUGAUACUGUGAAACGUGAGCCCAAUAUUGUUGACAGAAAACUAAAUUGGAAGCCAAGCUGAGCAACGUUUGGUUCUCAAAGUUUUGAAAGGUUGGUGAGGAUGGAAUCUUUGUGUGAAGUUGAACAGUGUGCUACCAGGGAGAAUAUACCUCAAUCCACGUCACAGUAGUGGCUGUCAUACAGGAAGCCUUGUACUGGUACAGUGUGGUGCCAAAUCAGUAUGUAUACUCACCGCCAAAAGUAAUGCGAACCAUAGAAACAUAUAGAGAAGUAUGUAUGUUAACAAGAGAUGUUUUCAAUGUGUAUCACUCAAUGACAAAACUAAAAGUCAGCAGUGUCUGUAUUCUUAUCAUGAUAUGCUGCAUGUGAUUUCCAAACUUAACACGCUAAUCCUGCAUGAGACAAAAUGGUGCAUCUCGAGGCUUGGAUCUUUAACAUCACAUGUGAUGCGGUCAUGAGCGUCGGUUCAUGCAACAUUAGUUUGUUCAUUUGUGCACCGAACAAAUCUAAUAUCUAUUUCCAUCACCACAAAGGAAGCAUCUAGGAGAGUUAUUAAUACAGACUUGUAUCAAAUCUGCCCCAUGUACCGGUCGGUACCUUGAGGGACAUUUAGACAUGUCUUGAGAAAGCCUUGUUUUGUAAAAUGUUCCAACUCCAAACUACUGGAAUGUUUUUGUUCUCAUCACAAUGUAUAUCAAAUCCACAGGAUUACUUUCUGUUCCUGGAAAGUCCAAAGCUCCCAGAAAGAUGUCAACUCCUCAGCACCACUUAUAACACUAGCCUAUUAUUGACGUGACCUGUAAUGGGAUGUCCUCAGUGGUAGCGAGAACUUGUAUCCGAUUUUAUGAGAUUAAGGUAAUCUAGACAUGUGAUUAAUCCUGUUUUGUUUAUUAAAAGCAGUAAUUGUUUAUUGUUAAGCAAGUUUAUCUCUGCAGCCGUUGAAAUAUGCAGCCACUCGCUGACUCGUUUCGCAUCAAAACAUGGGGCUGUGUACUCCUGGACAUAUGACCACGGAGUACGCUGACCACAGUGUCGGAUUAACGAGACUGAUUAAUGAGUGAUUUUGGUAAUUCGUUGCAAAUUAAGUGUGUCGGAGUCGGAGUGUGAGACUGUCGGAUUAACGGGUCUAAAUAGCACUGAUUUAAUCGGCCAUUAGUGUCGGAUAAAGCCCAUUGGCGGAUGAAUGAGUGUCAGAUUAACGAGACCUGACUGUACUGGCGUAUCACGGAGAGGAAAACAUACAGGGGUUACCAGAACAUGUCUUUAUAUCCCAUCGCUUCUUCAGUCAUGUCACUUCUUGUCCACCUGCAGUAUUAUGUUUAUAUGUUUGUCUUUUUGUACACAAUGGAUAUUGAGUCCACUGUCAUAUGCUUGUGUGCUCUCAAAGAGUGUGAAAUUGUCUUGUCCAGGUAGAUCCAUUUUUUUUAAUGGUUGACAUAUGAAUGUUUUUACAGAUUAUUAGCAUAAUGAAAAUAGAAUGAAGUGUUUUAAUUAUUGUUUUAUUUGUAAAAAAAAUUACCCAGUAUUGUUAUGGUGUAGAACUUGUGGGGGGAGUUUUUGUUCGAAAGUAUGGUAGCUGCUGAACACAUCAAAAUUAGAUACCCCCAAGCCAUAUACGCUUGCUAUGGGGAUGUUAGGGUGAAAAAUUGAGAUAGGUUUCAUGUAGGGAAGAAAAAACUUGUAUGGGUUUAGUUAUUUCUUCAAAUUACAGGACCACUGUCCACUCUGGGAUCGCUGGUGCCCAACUUUGUCUUCCCUUUGGUUUUGGGAACAGAACACUUUGCUGUACUCUUGACCAUCUCUUGAUGACAAUUUCUGGGGCAGAGUAAAUCCCACUAAUGGCAGUUGUCUCCUGAUGGGAAUUAUGGAACAGAGCAAAUGCCUGGCAGGUCUAGUGUCUUAUCUUGCCUUGCCUGUUGAGCCAUGCUCUCACUAUUGACCACUGGUUUCUGUGGUCCAGACUUGACCACACUUGUAGGUUGCUAUGAUACAGUUGUAAUAUCACUGACUUGGUCUUGUAGGUUGCUAUGAUACAGUUGCAAUAUCACUGACUUGGUCUGUGUGGUCCAGACCUGACCACACUUGCUGGUUGCUAUGAUACAGUUGUAAUAUCACUGACUUGGUCUGUGUGGUCCAGACCUGACCACACUUGCUGGUUGCUAUGAUACAGUUGUAAUAUCACUGACUUGGUCUUGUAGGUUGCUAUGAUACAGUUGCAAUAUCACUGACUUGGUCUGUGUGGUCCAGACCUGACCACACUUGCUGGUUGCUAUGAUACAGUUGUAAUAUCACUGACUUGGUCUGUGUGGUCCAGACCUGACCACACUUGCUGGUUGCUAUGAUACACUUGUAAUAUCACUGACUGGAUUAUAACCUCAUAAUUCAUCAUCCAUGACUGAUCUCACAUGAACUAAGUAUUCAUGUAUGUGCAAUAGUUGCUGUCCUAGCUCAGAAAUACCAGCUUAUUGUUAUCAAGUGAUUUUACAUUUGGUGAUUAUGUAUAUCUUAUGAUUUUGCUUUCAUUUAAGCUUUAUUGCUGACAUUAUUUACAUUAUCUAAGCAUAUCCUGAUCAACACUGAUAGAUUAUGAUGAGCUAUCAAUCUUUAUAUCUGAAACAUAUUGUGAUAUUCUAGAACAUAGAUCUGUUAUUGAAUAUAUAUCAUAUCCUAGUUUCCUUCGUAUAGAUGUUGUUUAUUCCUAUGUAAUAUUUUAUGUACCAUGAUAGGAUUAAAAAAAAGAAAGAAUUGGUUCUCAGGCAAUGACUUGGGAAAAUAUAGAGCGGGUGGGCGGUAUUGUUUUGGUUUUUUUUGCUUGUUUCAACCUUGAAUGUAACCGAAUAAACAGGUGUGUACCAUCACUCUGGGAAAGGGCCUCCCUACCUACAUAAACAAGUGUACAAACUCCUAUUGAAGCCAUGACCAUAUUCAUAAGAGAUGCGCCGUAAAGCAGUGUGCAUGUAAAGGGAAGUAACUGUGUGAAAUGUUGGAUCACAUUUUUUUAAAGCAUUAUUUUUAUUUUUUUAUUUUUUGAAAAUGGAAAUAAAAACGAAACAUGCAGGAGACUUUAUGAUGAUGCGGGAUAGGUGCCUGAGAACCAAGACUAUUAUUUUGUUAGCCAUAUAGUUCCGCCGAUUGUCGUUAUGGCUUUCAGCUGAAGGGGAAAGUCUUUUACUUCUUGGAAGUUUUGUGGGGUUUUAGCACAAAAUUUAAAAAAUAGUAUUGUUUAAAAGGCAAACUUUGGGUCACUUUCCAGAACCUCUGUCACCAUGCCAACGGAAAGACCGCAAAGACCAAAUGAGUUGACGAGGAUGUCCAUUGAAACAAGAAGCAUUUAUUCAGCGUUACUGUUUUUGGCUCAGUAAUGAAAACAUUCUUAAUGGCUGUAUGAAGCUCGCAUUACACUGAAACAAGUCUUGUACAACAUGCAGUCUCUGUUCUGUUCUGGAGAAUUAAAUUAAGUUAGAUUAUUAAUAGUCAAAUGUCUUCAAGACUUGUGUUGUUGGCCCUGUGAUUUUCCAACAUUAACACAGUAAGAUGUAGAGAUUUCACAAGCAUCAAACUGGUCCAGGACAUAAUUCUGAUUAGCAUCAAUACUUAGUUGACAAAACCACAUCACUGUGGUGCAAGACAAAAUUACAAAUGUGGAGAAUAUUGUGUGAAAAUACACUUCCUGGUAGUCUUACUUCUUUUUACCUUUCAGAUUUCACGACAUUGUGUCCACUUUCAGUCUAAUAGUUUUUGCAGAUUGAUUAUCAUUUUAACUGUUGAGAUCAGUUAGUUAACCAGUUGUUUGAUUAACUGCCUGAGCGCUGCAGACAGAAACUGGCUGUGUGUAGCAUCUCGACACAUCGUCCUGCAUGCUGAUCUAUCAUAUGGUAAUGUUGAGGAAUAAAUUGUUGAUUAUG